rnacentral:tRNA from 1 species
GGAAGCGUGCCUGAAAGAUAGGGACCUCCUUGAUAGGGAGGCUGAUAGGGGUUCAAACCCCCUCACUUCCUCUA